UCCCACACAGCGGCGGUGCCCAUGGAGCACAGCCCAUGUCAGAGCAGUGACCCCAGCGCUCCAUCUCUGCAUCGCUGGGCUGUGUCCCUUUGGCCCCCCCUAUCCCA
ensembl:miRNA